UCAAGCGACUAAGUGUAUGUGGUGGAUGCCUUGGCGAUCACAGGCGAUGAAGGACGUGACAGCCUGCGAAAAGCUGUGGGGAGCUGGCAAAUAAGCUUUGAUCCACAGAUGUCCGAAUGAGGGAACUCACCUGCUUUGCAGGUAUCCCAUCCUGAAUAUAUAGGGAUGGGAGGCGAACGAAGCGAACUGAAACAUCUAAGUAGCUUCAGGAAAAGAAAUCAACCGAGAUUCCGAAAGUAGCGGCGAGCGAAAUCGGAUCAGCCCAGCACUCGAUAGCAGCCAACUUACGGGAACGGUCUGGAAAGUCCGGCCAUAGAGGGUGAUAGCCCCUUACUGGAAAAGGCAGCUGUGGUACUAAGUGUGCGAUAAGUAGAGCGGGACACGUGACAUCCUGCUCGAAGAUGGGGGGACCAUCCUCCAAGGCUAAAUACUCGUGAUCGACCGAUAGUGAACCAGUACUGUGAAGGAAAGGUGAAAAGAACCCCGGGAGGGGAGUGAAAUAGAUCCUGAAACCGCAUACAUACAAACAGUAGGAGCCCGCAAGGGUGACUGCGUACCUUUUGCAUAAUGGGUCAGCGACUUACGUUCAAUGGCGAGCUUAACCGGAUAGGGGAGGCGCAGCGAAAGCGAGUCCGAACAGGGCGAAAUUCAGUCGUUGGGCGUAGACCCGAAACCAGAUGAUCUAUCCAUGGUCAGGCUGAAGGUGUGGUAACACACACUGGAGGGCCGAACCGACUAGUGUUGCAAAAUUAGCGGAUGAACUGUGGAUAGGGGUGAAAGGCUAAACAAAUCUGGAGAUAGCUGGUUCUCCCCGAAAACUAUUGAGGUAGUGCCUCGUGUAUGGCUCCAGGGGGUAGAGCACUGUUAUGGCUAGGGGGACAUGGCGUCUUACCAAACCAUGGCAAACUCCGAAUACUUGGAAGUCAGAGCACGGGAGACAGAGCACCGGGUGCUAACGUCCGGACUCAAAAGGGAAACAACCCAGACCGCCGGCUAAGGUCCCUAAUAUCGGCUAAGUGGAAAACGAAGUGGGAAGGCUAAGACAGUCAGGAAGUUGGCUUAGAAGCAGCCAUCCUUCAAAGAAAGCGUAAUAGCUCACUGAUCGAGUCUUCCUGCGCGGAAGAUGUAACGGGGCUAAGUCGAUAACCGAAGCCGCGGAUUCAACUGUAAAGGUUGAGUGGUAGGGGAGCGUUCCGUAAGCCUGAGAAGGCGGACCCGCGAGGGCCGCUGGAGGUAUCGGAAGUGCGAAUGCUGACAUGAGUAACGUUAAAGCGGGUGAAAAGCCCGCUCGCCGCAAGCCCAAGGUUUCCUGCUCUACGUUCAUCGGAGCAGGGUGAGUCGGCCCCUAAGGCGAGGCUGAGAAGCAUAGCUGAUGGGAACCAGGUUAAUAAUCCUGGACCGAUUGCAGGUGCGAAGGAGGGACGGAGUGCUGAAGGUCAUCCGGGUGUUGGAUAUCCCGGUUUGCGAGCGUAGGAAGCCGGCAGGCAAAUCCGCCGGCGAAUUUCCGAGGCGAAGCAUCGAGGCUGGUUUCAGCUGAAGUGACUGAAUGGACUUCCAGGAAAAGCUUCUAAGCAUCAGCCUGCAAUUGACCGUACCGCAAACCGACACUGGUGGGCGAGCUGAAUAUGCUCAGGCGCUUGAGAGAACUCAGGAGAAGGAACUCGGCAAAUUGACACCGUAACUUCGGGAUAAGGUGUGCCUUUGUAGCGUGGAGGGAGAAACACCCCGAGCGCGAAGAGGUCUCAGAUAAUCGGUGGCUGCGACUGUUUAUUAAAAACACAGCACUCUGCAAAGACGAAAGUCGACGUAUAGGGUGUGAUGCCUGCCCGGUGCUGGAAGAUUAAUUGAUGGGCUGCAAGGUCCUGAUCGAAGUCCCAGUAAACGGCGGCCGUAACUAUAACGGUCCUAAGGUAGCGAAAUUCCUUGUC
rnacentral:rRNA from 1 species